GAGGGCAUGGCUCAAGUCGUAGAGCGCGUGCUUAGCACGCACGAGGUCCCGGGUUCAAUCCCCAGUGCCUCCU
rnacentral:tRNA from 1 species